rfam:Ruminococcus lactaris ATCC 29176 Scfld_02_38 genomic scaffold, whole genome shotgun sequence.
UGGUGUUGAAGCAAUUGACUGUGUCGGCAUGCAGCCGAUUGUGGAGCCUGACCUUGGGUUAUGCGAUAACCUCAAACCGAAUAGGUUCUUCGGAACUGAAUGAAAACGCUUUUU